AUACGUAGGGGGCAAGCGUUAUCCGGAUUUACUGGGUGUAAAGGGAGCGUAGACGGCGAUGCAAGUCUGAAGUGAAAACCCGGGGCUCAACCCCGCGGACUGCUUUGGAAACUGUGUUGCUGGAGUGCAGGAGAGGUGAGUGGAAUUCCUAGUGUAGCGGUGAAAUGCUUAGAUAUUAGGAGGAACACCAGUGGCGAAGGCGGCUCACGGGACUGUAACGGACGUUGAGCCUCGAAAGCGUGGGGAGCAAACAGGAUUAGAUCCCCUGGUAGUCCACGCCGUAAACGAUGAAUGCUAGGUGUCGGGGGGCAAAGCCCUUCGGUGCCGCCGCUAACGCAUUAAGCAUUCCACCUGGGGAGUACGUUCGCAAGAAUGAAACUCAAAUGAAUUGACGGGG
rnacentral:rRNA from 1 species